UACAGAGGUCUCAAGCGUUGUUCGGAUUCAUUGGGCGUAAAGGGUGCGUAGGUGGUGAUGCAAGUCUGGUGUGAAAUCUCGGAGCUCAACUCCGAAAUUGCACCGGAUACUGCGUGAUUCGAGGACUGUAGAGGAGAUCGGAAUUCACGGUGUAGCAGUGAAAUGCGUAGAUAUCGUGAGGAAGACCAGUUGCGAAGGCGGAUCUCUGGGCAGUUCCUGACACUGAGGCACGAAGGCCAGGGGAGCAAACGGG
rnacentral:rRNA from 1 species